AGUGAACGCUGGCGGUAGGCCUAACACAUGCAAGUCGAACGGCAGCACAGUAAGAGCUUGCUCUUACGGGUGGCGAGUGGCGGACGGGUGAGGAAUACAUCGGAAUCUACUUUUUCGUGGGGGAUAACGUAGGGAAACUUACGCCCCUACCGCAUACGACCUACGGGUGAAAGCAGGGGAUCUUCGGACCUUGCGCGAUUGAAUGAGCCGAUGUCGGAUUAGCUAGUUGGCGGGGUAAAGGCCCACCAAGGCGACGAUCCGUAGCUGGUCUGAGAGGAUGAUCAGCCACACUGGAACUGAGACACGGUCCAGACUCCUACGGGAGGCAGCAGUGGGGAAUAUUGGACAAUGGGCGCAAGCCUGAUCCAGCCAUACCGCGUGGGUGAAGAAGGCCUUCGGGUUGUAAAGCCCUUUUGUUGGGAAAGAAAAGCAGCAGGUUAAUACCCCGCUGUUCUGACGGUACCCAAAGAAUAAGCACCGGCUAACUUCGUG
rnacentral:rRNA from 1 species